rnacentral:lncRNA from 1 species
UUUCUUUCUUAAAUGCUUCAAAGAAUUGACUAGUGAAGUCAUCUGGGGCUGGGUUUUUGUGAGAAGUUUUAAGAGUACAAUUCAAUUCUGUUAAUAUCUAUUGUAGUAUCUAUUUUUUCUUGAAAUUUGGUGGGGUUUUUUUUGUGUUAUUUUUUUGAGAUGGGGGUCUCACCAUGUUGCCUAGGCUGGUUUGAGUUCCUGGCCUCAAGGAAUUUGAGCUUUCUAAGGAAUUUAUCCCUUUCAUCUAAGUUAUAAAACAUAUUGGCAGAGAGUUGUUUAUCAUAUUCUUUAUUAUCCUUUUAUCAUCUAAGGCUCUACAGGGACAUCACUUGGUUCUUGAUAUUAAUGCAUUUUCUCUUUCUCUGACCAGCCAGGCUAACAAUACAUCAAUUUUGUUUAUCUUCUUAAAGAUGCAGCUUUUGAUGAGAUAUCUUUUUGGUUAUCCCCUUUUCUAUCUUAUUGAUUCCAACAUUAUUUCCUUUUGUUAUAAUAUGGCUCUGGGAUGUCCCUUUAAGGCACACUGAAG